UAACUAAUUUCUUAUUCUCAUUUAUUAGGAAGAAAAUAUACACACACAUAGAGAGAUUAUAUUUUUCCUCCUCUACCUAACUCCCCCAUUACACGAUAUUUAUCAUCAACACACUCACAUUUAUAUGGACAUACAUUGCCUAACGAAAAACACACCAUUUUUUUUCAUCUUUUCAAUUUUCCUUUCUGGGGACUAUUAAAAGUCCAAAAGAAAUGCGUCCAUAACGUUCAAAAUGGAGGCAUAUAGGUCAUUUCACGUCUGCCCCACAUUAAAGCCAAAAUUGAAUUACUAUUCUACACUUAAUGAAAAUUUUAAGGGUUUUAGAUUGAAAUUUUUUCAAGUUUCCCUCUAAUAAUUGCUCCUUCCCCAUGUACUCCUAAUCAAUUACCCCAUUCCCUCCCUAUGCACGCUAAAUAAUUGAGGAGUCUUUUCAUAUUCCUUCUUUAUCUUUUAAUCUCUUUUCAAAAAGACAUGUCUUUUUAAUUCCCUUCUUCAUCUCUUAAUCUCUUUUUAAAAAGGCACCCCCCACUUUCUCUUUCCCUAUUUAAUAGUUUCAUAUCUUUUGUUUAAUAACUUAAGCAUGACUAGUCACAUCUAAGAGCAAGAAAAUAGCCAACUUAUUGCAAUUAUGUAUGGCUGACAAUGAUUCAUUGCUUAACAUGGAAGUGAAGUAUGACAGCGAAUAUGUGUUAUUGUUGAAGACCUUUUGUGAUGCUCGGAAUCCCAAAAGACAGUAUUGGAAUUGUCCACUAUAUGGGGCCUCAGGCUUGCAUAUUUUUCCUUUAGAGAGAUCUAGAUAUUUGUCUCUGAUCGCAUUUCUUCAUCUCUAAACUUGUUGCUCAAAUUAAUCAAUUACAACUGUAGUUGGAAUCUCGUAAUAAUGAGGGCGAUCCAAUUGAUUACGAGCAGGCUGCAACCGUUGAGGACGGUGAUGUUCAACCAAAAGAAUGGUAUAAUGUAAAUGUGAAUGUCCAUUCGGAUAAGAAAAAUAGAGAAGGGAGCGCAAAAGUCGAGGUUCUAGAGGAAGAGGGGCGUAGAAGUCCAACUUAGAAGGGUACAUUUGAUUUUACUAUUUUUUUUAAGUUAUGAACUUAUAUUAAUUCAUCUAUUUUUUUAUAAAAUAUUAGUUCAUCUA